rnacentral:lncRNA from 1 species
GUAAUAUCAGCAAACAGGCCAUCUAGCAUCCCAAGAGGGCCAGCAUUUUCAGAAUUCAGAAAGAUUAAACACAGCAGUGAUAGACAGCUCCAUGGGAUUCAACAAUCAAGAUACUGCACUUUUCCUAUGACUUAAAACACUGCAGUGGCAAAGCCUAGUUUCUAUCUUCAGUUCUUUACUAAUUCCUUAUGGCAAGCCACAAGUUGCAACUGAAGACUCUUACUUGACUACAGAUUAAAUAACAGAACACACAGAAGGACCUAAUCUAGGAAGAGGAAAAAUUUCAAAGUGCUUUGUCAAACACAGACAUCAAAGAGAAGCUGAGGCAGUUUGACUUCUAUUUACCACUUUAAAAUUGGUCAAUCUUUUCUGUAGUAGUUGUCUAUCUAUCUAUCUAUCUAUCUAUCUAUCUAUCUAUCUAUCUAUCUAUCUAUCCAAUAUACAUUAUAGAAAAAAUAUAUAUACAUAAAUAUAUAUGAGAAACUGUUUACAUGUUCUUAAAAAAUUAAGAGUCAGC